rnacentral:rRNA from 1 species
CCAAGGAGUCUAACAUGUGCGCGAGUCACUGGGUCUUGUUCAGGCCCAAAGGCGGAAUGAAAGUGAAGGCCGGUUCGGCCGGCUGCGUUGGGAUCCCGUCCUUUCGAGGGCGGGCGCACCAACGGCCCGUCCCGAUCGCCGCGUCGAUGGGGCGGAGCGAGAGCGUACACGUUGGGACCCGAAAGAUGGUGAACUAUGCCUGGGCAGGACGAAGCCAGAGGAAACUCUGGUGGAGGUCCGCAGCGAUUCUGACGUGCAAAUCGAUCGUCAGACCUGGGUAUAGGGGCGAAAGACUAAUCGAACCAUCUA